UUUUGUAGCUCAUAUCUCACUUUGGCAACUGUCAUACAUGAUGCCUAGCUCAUAUUUUCUAUUAUCAAGGCAAUAACUAAGAACUAACUAAAAAAAAAAUAUGCAAGAACUUAUGUGUGCGAACACGUGAAAUUGGUAUCAGGGUCAUACAGAAACAUCCAUUUUUCUGUCCCUAGCCUUUACAGAAAUAUUACAAUUGAAAAACACAUUAGGGUUACAAUUUUUUUUAUAUUUUAGAAAUAAUUGCACAAAAAAGCUAAAGAGAAAAAUAAUUAAGCUGUCAUUUAUAUGUAUUCAUAAGUCAAAAGGUAAUCUAAUAAUGUGGUCUAAGUUUAAAUGUUAGAAAAAUAAAUACAUUUUAAGACAAUUUGCCAUACCAAAAGUGGACGUUUCUGUAGAAUGACCCACCACAUGUAAGUGGCAUGUUAUGGAAUUUAACUAUGGCAAUUAAGUGAGAGGAGAUGGAAAGCUAGGAUUUCUACACGUUUUCCUGAAUCAUUUACAAGGUCAAUUCUUUCUUGUAUGAAGAUAGUGGAAAAGAACACUCAAAAAAAAAAAAAAGUUUUGUGGCACUGUUCGUUUUACACAGAUAUUUUUUUGUUAAAACAACACAAAUAUAUUUCAUUUUCCGCCAAAACACCAUUGUAUUGUGCUUAAUCAACUUAAACUGUUUAAUUUUCCAUUUUACUUAAUUAUCAAUCGUUAAACUAACGUAAAGGGUUUAAUUUCGUCAUUCAAAAAAAAACCGGAUGUGACGAAUUCCAACGCAUUUGGCGGAGGAGCUGCAAUGGCGUCAGUCAGAGCAAGAAGUACCAGUCAGAUUUAUGCAGAAUUUGAGACAUACAGAAUUACCAUAGGCCCAUUAGAAUCAACAAUCUUUGCCAAAAUGGAUCCGCACUGCAAAACUUAUGAAGAUGUUUGCUUGGACGAAUAAUUAAACCCUCUUGGUGCCCACUACACAGACUAAUGAAAUUGAAGUAUCCAAAUGAAGACCCUAGCGGUAAGGAGUAAAUUAUGAGUUUUAUUUAAAAAAAUUUGUUCAAGGUUGAUAAAUGCUUUGUUAAAGUUAAUACAGAAGAAUUUGAGUACUCCAUCCUUUUAAAUACUUCUAGGAUACAGACGUUGCCAGCAAUCAGGAGGUGAUCCAGAAGACUCGUGGGAAUCUAUAUGAAGGUGCAUCAUUGAAGACAGUCCAGCAGAUGUUGAAGUGUUGGAAGAUAAAGUUCUUCAGGACCUUAGCAGUUUACAGCAUGCAAAACCAUGUUGCUGGGACAGAUAUAUGCACUAAACUUGAGCAACCCUCCUGAACUCAGGUACACAUUUGGAGUACUGAAGUUGUUGUUUCUGGAGCCAGUUCCUGUUCCUGGAAUAAGGUUUGAUUGGUUACCCAUGAAUGCCAAUUAGAAAAUGAGAGUAGUUUGAUAUUUCUGCUAUUUUGUGUCAUUUUGUAAUGUGGUUUCAGCUGUAUUUAACUGUGUGUAAUUAUUUAAUGCUUGUUUAACAAAUACACUUUGAUCAUUUGUGAUAUCUUGUCUUUUGACUCAUUACAAGACAAAUCACACAAAAAAUGCUUUGUUGACGGGAGUAACUUUAAAUAGAAAACAUUUAAAGUAACUAGAACUAAUUGGAUAGAACCACUGUCCAAAAAUUAAAUGAUUAAUUUGAAACAAACCUCCUGAUGUUGAUAGAGUGAAACUAAUUUGGCUAGAUUGUAAUAAACCAAAACAUGUUCAGUUAACUUAACCGGUU
ensembl:lncRNA